rnacentral:rRNA from 1 species
GCAUAUCAAUAAGCGGAGGAAAAGAAACCAACAGGGAUCGCCUCAGUAACGGCGAGUGAAGCGGCAAAAGCUCAAAUUUGAAAUCCUCCGGGAAUUGUAAUUUGAAGGUGGGGUUGAAUAGGUCUAGAUACUUUAAGUCCAUUGGAAAAUGGCGCCAUGGAGGGUGAUAGCCCCGUAAAAGUAUUAACGCCUUCUUUUCUUCCCCUCCUAAGAGUCGAGUUGUUUGGGAAUGCAGCUCUAAGUGGGUGGUAAAUUCCAUCUAAAGCUAAAUAUUGGCGAGAGACCGAUAGCGAACAAGUACAGUGAUGGAAAGGAUGAAAAGCACUUUGAAAAAGAGAGUGAAAAAGUACGUGAAAUUGUUGAAAGGGAAGGGCUUGCAAGCAGACACAACCUCGGUUGGGCCAGCAUCGGAGUGGGGGGAGACAAAAAAGGCUAGGAAUGUAGCUCCCUUAGAGUAUUAUAUCCUGGCCCCAUAUCUCCACCCCCUCCGAGGC